UACGUAGGGUGCGAGCGUUAAUCGGAAUUACUGGGCGUAAAGCGUGCGCAGGCGGUUCGUUAAGUCAGAUGUGAAAGCCCCGGGCUCAACCUGGGAACUGCAUUUGAAACUGGCGGGCUUGAGUGCGGCAGAGGGGGGUGGAAUUCCGCGUGUAGCAGUGAAAUGCGUAGAGAUGCGGAGGAACACCGAUGGCGAAGGCAGCCCCCUGGGUCAAGACUGACGCUCAUGCACGAAAGCGUGGGGAGCAAACAGG
rnacentral:rRNA from 1 species